ACGGGGUGCAGCAGGCGCGAAACCUCCACAAUGCGCGAAAGCGUGAUGGGGUUAUCCCGAGUGCCGUCCGAUGAGGAUGGCUUUUUAUCGAUGUAAGGAUUCGAUAGAAUAAAGGGGGGGCAAGACUGGUGUCAGCCGCCGCGGUAAUACCAGCCCCCUGAGUGGUAAGGACGAUUAUUUGGCCUAAAGCGUUCGUAGCCGGCUUAUCAAGUCUUUUGUUAAAUCCAACGAUUCAAUCGUUGGGCCGCAAAAGAUACUGUUAUGCUAGAGGACGGGAGAGGUCGACGGUAGUCCAGGGGUAGGGGUGAAAUCCUGUAAUCCUAGGGGGACCACCAGUGGCGAAGGCGUCCAACCAAAACGGCUCCGACGGUAAGGGACGAAGCCCUGGGGCGCAAACGGGAUUAGAUACCCCGGUAGUCCAGGGUGUAAACGCUGCAGGCUUGGUGUUGGGGGUCCUACGAGGGCGCCCAGUGCCGGAGAGAAGUUGUUAAGCCUGCCGCUUGGGAGUACGUCCGCAAGG
rnacentral:rRNA from 1 species